CCUGCCAGUAGUGUAUGCUUCUCCUAAAGACUAAGCCAUGCAUGCCUUCGAAUAGAAGACGCAAUCUCUCUGAAUCUGCGAACGGCUCCGCAUACCAGUUGUAAACCAUAGCGAGCUAACCUUGGGAAGACCCGAUCAAAAGGGACGACCCUUGGUUGGACAUGGAUACCCGUGGUAAUUCUGAGGCUAAUACAAGGACAUAUGACCUGGCUAACCGGGCAACUGGAAGGCUGGGGGUUGUGUGAAGCUUUACUGCAACACCGACCUAUGAGAUGAUGCACAAUCAGACCACCAUACCAAACGGUCUCGUUCCGCGGUCAGUACCCUCGGGGAAAGCCAAGGUGCUUGACUGGGUGGCUCUCGCUUCGUGCUUCUGACCUAUCAACUAGAUGGCAGCGUAACGGACAUGCUAUGGUUACAACGGGUACAGAGGAUAAGGGUUCGAUCCUGGAGAGUGGGCCUGAGAGAUUGCUCACACUUCUAAGGAAGGCAGCAGGCGCGCAACGUUCCCAAUGGGUAAAACCUGAGGGCGUUAGGGGACAUAUGAAUGCCUGCCAUUAGGUGGGCAAUUCAAAUGGGACUGUUCUAAACAGCCUAUCGAGUAACAAUUA
rnacentral:rRNA from 1 species